UGGGGAAUCUUGCACAAUGCGCGAAAGCGUGAUGCAGCAACGCCGCGUGGGGGAAGAAGGCCUUCGGGUUGUAAACCUCUUUCAGUUGGGACGAAGGUUCUACGGUGAAUAGCCGUGUGAACUGACGGUACCUUCAGAAGAAGCCCCGGCUAACUACGUGCCAGCAGCCGCGGUAAUACGUAGGGGGCAAGCGUUGUCCGGAAUCAUUGGGCGUAAAGCGCGUGUAGGCGGCCACGUUAGUCCGCUCUGAAAGCCCGGGGCUCAACCCCGGGAGGCGGGUGGAUACUGCGGGGCUCGAGUCCGGAAGAGGCGAGUGGAAUUCCUGGUGUAGCGGUGAAAUGCGCAGAUAUCAGGAGGAACACCAAUGGCGAAGGCAGCUCGCUGGGACGUGACUGACGCUGAGACGCGAAAGCGUGGGGAGCAAACA
rnacentral:rRNA from 1 species